rnacentral:misc_RNA from 1 species
ACCAUGAGCCAGCUCGUUGUCGACAAUCUGGCCGCGCACUUUGCCGGCAAGCCGCUACUGACACCCCUAUUUGAUCUUCCUGUCCCCGAGUUAUCCGCAUGACGUCCCAUCC